rnacentral:lncRNA from 1 species
AGAUAGUUGAUUUAAAGUCCUUAAUAUGACACCCAAUAUGAAAUAUUAAGGCUAGGACCCAACAAACUAUUUUAUAACUUAGAAGAGGUAUGCCGUAAUCCAAGCUAUAAAAUAUUUGAAGGUAGGUGAAUGACGAUUCACCAAUUUCCACCAAGAUAAACGAAAUGUAUUAUUAGGUUUUAAUUGGUUUUGAAACUCCUAGAUCUUUGAGAUUCAUUGAACUUUUCAAAGGCAUGUUUCAAUCUCGAGUGUGCCCUUCAGGUUUUGUGACUGGGAUGCCGAGGAUCACAAAACAAGGUGUGAAGUAACCAUGCAAAUCACUUGGUACCCUUAAUAAAUUACCCCUCAAUCGAUGUGCCGGUUAACCACACACGCUCCAUCGAUACUAUGAUAAAUAUUAAGUCACCCUUUACCUACCUUGUUAAGUCCAAGUUAGUGUGCCGGUUAACCACACACGCUCCACUAACGACUUAGACAAAGUGUAAAGUGUAAUUUCAUGGAUUAGCACCUUAUUCACAUUUUUCCUAAGUAACUAAGAUUGGGUAUUAUUAAGAGUUUAGUUACUUAGUAUUAUCAUUAAUACUUUUAAUGAAGGGAGAAUUCUAGUCCUGUCAAACCCGUUCGGCUAACGACCCUCCACCAGUCAAGCAAGCGGUGGGUGAGAGUGGACACCCAUUAAGUUGCCAUUUUAUAGGCAACAACCUUAUACCCACCUUAUAGACCGGCUUCGUGAAUGAGGCGUACUAGCGGUAAGACUGACUUUACUCUUAUACAUAUAUAUAUUAUUAACUUAUAAUAUUAUAAAGUAUAAGGGUUGAAUUUUAACUUUUAAAAUUCUAAGGGCUAACUUGGAAUUAAAGUAUUCAUAAGUGAAAACUUUACAAAUUCCAAAACUUGAGGGCAAGUUUUGAAACUAUUCAAAACUAAUUAAUUCCAUAACUUAUGUGUUUAAAGUAGUUUUAAUCCAAAAACUCUUCAAGUUCCAUAACUUGAGGACAAGUUAUGGAAGACUUUAAACUAAUAAAAGAAUUAACUUUUCUUUAUUUUAUAACUUAUGGAAUUAAUUAAGGUUACACCUUUUUUUAUUUUAUUUUAUUUUAUUAAAUGAAGAGACUCUUGGUCCUCCAUAACUUGAGGACAAGUUAUGGAGUCAUAAAACCAUUUAAUUAGAACUAGACUCUUCAUUUUUGUAACCUUUGCCAAUUUUUAUGAGUUUUAUGAUUCUUAAAUGUGACUUUUCAUAUAACUUGAGGACAAGUUACAAAAACACAUUUUAGAAUCAAUUCUUAGAUUAAUUUGGAUUAAAACCAACUAUCACAUAAUUUUAUUCAUUAAUCUAAAUUCACUCAUAAAACAAGGUAACACAAAAAACUUUUGGUGAUCCAUAACUUAUUCUUAAGUUAUGGAAUCCUUUAAAACAUUAACACCAAAUUUUGUAACUCCAAAAAAACUUUGAAUCAAUUUUUUUUUUAAAACCUUUUCAUAUCCAUAACUUAUGGAGGUUUCAAAAAAUAAAACUCUUUAGAUCAAACUUUUAAAACUAAUAAAAUAAUCAUAUUAUUUUAUCUUUUAUUAAAUUUGACCUAAUUCAACUCAUAAAGCAAAUUAUUCAAAUUUUACAAAUAAUUAGUUUUUCACAAGAACAAGUAAUUAUCUUAAAAUUUGACGAACUUCAUGUUUUUUUUUUUUUUUUUUUUUUUUCAACUUUGAAAAUAAAAUAUUUGCAUCAAUAUAACAGAAAACAACCCGUGGCUCUGAUACCACUGUUGGGUUUUGAGCAUUCUAACACUUCCUAAGUGUACAUGCAACCCUAAAUACCUUGGAUCUAUGUUUUCUCUAUUAUACAUGCAAAUAAGAACAUCCAAGGUAUUAUCCUAAUCUGGCAUACAAAAACUAUGAAUGUAACAAGAUAGAAUAAAUACCUCUUGAUGUAGCUUGAUGUCUUCAAGCUUUAAGAGUUUAGCCCCAAUAGUGUGGAAGCCUCAAGUGGAAUCACAAAUCACCAAGACACCUUGGAAUACUUUAGAGAAUAUGAUUACUUGGUUCUCUCUAGUGAAAUUGGCUAGCCCUUCUUUAGUGUAUCCACACUAGUGCCAAUUUCACCAACCAAAGACAUCUUUAUAUAGUAUGGAGGAUUAGGGUUAAACCCUAAUACCCAUGACCUUUCAUUUCCUAGGAUCCAUGGGUUAAACACUCCAUGGACUAUCCAUGAAAGCUUAGCCCAACCUAAAUGAACUUGGCCCAUUCCAUAUAUAUAAGAGUCCAUAUUUAAUUAGUUCCUUUUGAUCACUUAAUUAAUUAUAAAUUAAUUCUUGAUCAAUACUAAUUAAAUAAUAUGAUUCCAUAUUAAUAUAUUAGAACUUAUAAUAUAUUAAUAUUAAUCAUAAACAUACUAUUCUCAAAAGAUUAUCCAUAUAAAUUGUGUCGGUGAAGUGCAACCCAAAUGGACCAUGCCGGGUCGGGUCAAGUACAUACCAAAUAUAGUUAUGGACUUAGACAUUAAUCCAACACUUCCAACUAUCAAAUAAUUACAAACUAGUCCCUACACUUUAUAAUUAAUACAAUUAACCCCAAAACUAAUUCCAAAUAACUUCUGGUUAACUAUUAAUUAAAUAUUAUGAUUUCUAAUUAAUAUAUUAUUGUAAUAACACAUUAAUAAACUAUUUAUAAUAAUUUAUUAAUCUUAUAAUAAAUUAAGUUCUCUCUUUUCAUAAUUUCCCUGUCCAAUUGCUAGGUUUGAGAGCAACCCAAAAGGAUUGUGUUGUAAUCAAUUCAAGUACAUACCAACUAUAGUUAUGGGCUUAGACACCUAAUCCUACACAAUUGGCCACCGAGCAUCAUCCGAUAUAUGCUCUGUCAAUAAUGAGACCCAUAUCAUGAUGUGCUGCCAAUCAACACAUGUAUACAAUAAAUUAAGUAUUGUUAUUAGAGGCGUACUAUGUAAUGAUCACAAGUUACAUAACAUACAUCACAUUUCAACCAUCAUACUUCACUAUCCCUAUAUAAGCUUGUCCAAAACUCAAUCCUUGAAAUACAAGUAAUAUAAGAGUGCAAAAACAACAACAAAUUAUCUUGUUCUUUUGUGUAGAGUGUGAAUGGUAAGGUCUAAAAGACUGUCCAACGGUGUCGGAUGUUGGCGUGCAACACCUUUCUUCUUCAUAUGUAUCCAUAGGGACUUACACCAUGUGGAUAUAACUUUUCCGCAUAGAAUAUUCCUGUGAGGUGUUGCAUGCAUUUUAUAUUCUUCCGAGGGAAUCACUAUUAUAUAUGGCAUGCCAUUUUAUACUGAUAUAUGCUAGGGUACAUCAUUUGUUGGCUUUCUGGUGUACCAAGCUCAUAACCAUGCUCCCAAAACUCAUUUUUUGCGGUACAAACAUAUUCCACGAUAAGUAAAUGUACGAUUCAAUAGUAUUUAAUUAUAAACAAUGCAAUGACGGGUAUACUGUAAAGUUAAAUAAGAAAAGUACGGGGGUGAAAUAUUAAAUCAUACUACCUCCACCACCUUUGCGGAACCAGCAUCAUCUCCGACAACCUUAUUAUUAAGUUUUAAAAGAAUGAAUAUCGUAGCUUUAAGUUCUAAAAAAUACAUCUCAUGUGCUUUCAACUACUCGCAAUAGUACAGAACCCAUUUUGCAACUUUGUAAUAAUUCGGUCCUUAUGACUUAAUGGUUGUAACACCAGUUCUAGGUAUAUUUCCCUUUAUGUUUUUGUCAUUUAAAGAUUAAAAUAUGAAGUUUUGGGUUGCCACGACAUGGUGGGGGAAGUAACCAUUACCUAGCCUCACUCGUUAACAAACACACAUUUUGUUGUAUGCUAAGGCGUAACAUCCAUUUUAUGCUAAACCCUCAUUUAUGGGGUUUACGCCCCUAUUUAAUAGAUGUGAUGGCUAGGGUUUUCUUAACCUGCAACCUCCAUCACAUCCUUAUCGAGCUAGAGAAAAUCCUACCCUCCAUUAUUGAACUUAUGGACUUGUGUGAUGGUUUUUGGUCAUUUAAAGCAUAAGAAGGUAUCUUUGGUGAAUCGUUACAGCAAGCAAAUCUCCUCCUCAUCAUCUUAUGUUGUUUCUAAACAUUUGUAAGUCCUCAAUCUUCUUAUUUUUGUUUUGAAGCAUGCUAUAUCUAUGCUUUUAUGCAUUUUCUCCAUGUUUGGUAACAUUUGAGUUGAUGGAUUCCAUAAAUUUGGCAACUUCAUGGAUCCUUUAAUGUUCUAGAUUUGAUGAUGGUUCAGUUUUGGUUCCAUGCAUGAGGUUUUGAGCAUAUUUUUACCCUUUUUGACCUAACCAAGUUCAAUACACGCAUCAGACAUGCAUGUACAUAUAUUAAGGGUUUAUAUGAAGCUAAUGAGUGUUAGGAAGCUUUUUUUGAAGAGAUGAGAGUGUGGCUUAAUGGAUUAAGGGAUUAAUCCAUUAAGAUGUACAGAAGCAACUCCCAUGACAUGACAUCUUGUUCUCGACGAUGUGGUCGAGGGAGUUCUUCAUGAAUGAUCGUUUGGGUUACUACCACGCGGUUUUGGCAUGCUUUCCAUGGCACGAUGGCUGGUCUGGUCGAGACUAUUUCAUCGUGGGGUGGCCAUGAUGUGGUGGUAAGCUAUUAACGGCUGACUUUUUGAGCAAGUUUACUAUUCACCAAUUUGAGGUUUUAUGUGUUGUAGAUUGAGUAUUGGUUCAUUUUUGUGGUAUAGGUGACUCGUAGUACCAGUUCUUGGAUAUGUGUGAGUUUUUUUGUUUAUUUGCUAGAUUGCAAGGUGAGUUUUCUACCUAUACUAUGUACUACAAUAUGUAUCCUUGUGUGUAGGAUGUUGGUAUGUUGUAGUGAUCUAUUAGACUGGUAGGCUUGUUAUAAUUACUUGUGUCUUGUUGGUUAUUUUUUUUAUCUAAUUACAUAUGGUAACAUAUUAUGGUUAAGUUGAGGCAGUUCUGCUUUGUCCUGUAAGUGAAGAUACCCGGGCGGUCCAUGUAUACUGCAUGCCUUGUGAGGCGGUGCAAUCAGACUAUCAGCCUAUAGGAGUGGUCCAUCUAUAUGAUGUAGUCUUAGGAGAGUGGUCCAAGUGUAUCAAGGCCUUACGAGGCGGUUCAGUCAGACUGUAGUCUUAUGUGUGCAUGCGUUGUAUGUGUAUUGUUGUGUGGGGUAUUUUGGGGAAACUCACUAAGCUUUGGCUUAUAGUUGUGGAUCUAAAUAUUUUAGGUACUUUAGAGGAUCGGGGAAAAGUACAGGCAUGAUCGUACACAUCAUCCUAUUGAUUUUUACUUGAGAUAUGUUAUCGAUACUCCGAUUUGCUUUAUUAUGUUUUGAAACAAUGAUUUUGAUAAUUUAUGGUUUUUAUAGAAAUGUCUUUUGAAAACGAUAAAAAUUAGUAUGGUUUUUGGGAAGUUACAAGUUGGUAUCUGAGCCUUAUUUUGAGGGAUUUCGAUGAACAACCAUGUGAUUCCAGACUCAAACUAUGGAUCCACAAAAGGUUUUUCAUAAAUAAUUUCUAAAUAACUAAGAAAUGAGGAUGUGAUGUGUACAAUCAACCGGAGCUCAAGAGAAAGUUAUUCCUACAGAUUCCUACACUUGUUAUAUGUAUAUUUGUAAUAUGUUAAGUGUUAUAAUUGAAUGCUAGUUUAUAGGCUAGAGAUCUUCAGUAAUUGCAAGACAGAAUUUCAUGAUUUAGGAUGCUUGAUAGCCUGAGGAUUUCUUGUUUUGCCAUAUGAAACAAACAUUAUUGUUGUAGUUGCUAAGUGUAUGCAUCAUGAUUUUACAUAACUUAGAUUUUAUAGUUUUAUAAUAUUUGAUUUAGCCUUAUUUCCUGUUCCUUGUUUGAUUGUAGGCUUAGGGUAGAAUCAAUUAUUCGACUGUCUAUUGAAUCUGGCAUUAUGUAUGAUUAGCAUACGCAAGACGAAUUCAGUGUUAGUGAAGGUUUCAUGAUUUGGUUGUGUAAAUGUUAGAGUACUAGUACACGUAAGGAAUUGGUAGUUACUCUUGUGAGAAUGGGUGCAGGGUGUAUGUGUACCCUAGUUUCUCUGGGCCUAGUAGCCCAGGAUUUUCAUGGCGAUCCUCUGAAACAAAUAUAGGUAGGUGUGGAAAGUAGUAUGUUCCUGUACUACUGAAAGCUCAAGACACAUAUAUGUAUCAAGGAAGUCACGGGUUCGAAGGGAUGAGUAGUCGAGUAUAGAUGUGUUAAGGUAUAAUGUGAUUUUUUUGACUUGUUCCGGUUUAUUUCCAGCAUGGUGACUACGAAAGGUUCAGGAUCAGCUGGGCCAGAGAGGCCAGGGUUGGGUGAGGAUGAGAUGAAUAAACUGAUCACUACUCAAGUGACUUUGGCAGUUAGGGAGGCAAUCCAAAAGGUGUUUUGGUCUAUCAAAUCCAUUUUGAUAUAGAUGUUUGAUGAGCGUUAUGUUAUUGUCCUUGAGGCUGCUGCCACCAUAGUCAAUGCAGCCAUCACAGUAGUAGGACUUCAAGGAGGAGGGUCUAUGCAGUAAUAGGAGCUCAUAAACAUAAAGCCCCCAGAGUUCGAUUGGUUCAAGGACCCAAUUAAUGAUAUGAGAUGGAUAUAUGAUGUUGAGGGAUGUUUUUACACAUGUUCAUGUUUAGAAAACCAGAAGGUGAAGUUGACAUAGAACCUUCUUCACUUUGGGGCAAAACACUUGUGGAAGUUUGGCACUCAAGUAUUUUCUACUAUAGAGUGGGCCGUCGUUACAUGGGAGUAGUUUACAUAGAUGUUUUAUAAAUAUAUAUAUAUAUAUAUACAGAGAAAGAGAGAUUAACUCAUGAGCUUAUGUCCCUAAUGCAGACAACGGAAUCCGUGACGAAGAUCACCAAUAUGUUUACUUAGUUAGCCCUCUUUUUUCCCAAGUAUGCUGCUUUGGAGCAGGUUUAGAGGUCAAUAUACUUUAGGAUGCUUAAGACGUAGAGUUGGGAGUUUGUGUCAACUUUUUAGUUCCAUUCCCUUUCAGAGUUGUAGUGCUUUUCCUGGAGGAAGGAGAUUUAGAUUGAGACCCAGGUGAGAGAGAACAUGAAGGCCUUAGUCCAUAAUAAUCCUAUAGCUAAGCGGUUUAAGCCCAUUGAUUCCCAAUCCGGAGGGCAGAGAGGCCACACUUAUGACAAGUGCAUGAAGGUGCACGAGGGAGUGUGCUUUUUAGUAACCAGGUGCCACAAGUGCCAAUAAUAGACACUCUUUUAUAGAUUGUUGUUAGCAGCAGCAGCCCCUACCAUAGCACACUCGAAUUUGUUAUCAUUGUGAUUACGUUGGCCAUGUACAAUACAUAUAUCCAUUUCUUGCUUCUAGGUUCGUGUAGGAGCGAACUCUUACUACUCUUCGGUUCACGGAUGGCCUUCAAGGGAGGCUUGAGGCCCCAGAGUUAAGAGGUUGUGCAUUUUAGCUGACUGUUGGGGAUGCCAGGGCAGCUCCCGACCUGAUUACUAGUAUGCAUUAAUUUAUAUUCUGUCAAAUUAAUUUCUAAAUUCUUGCAUUUAGGUUUCAUUUACAUUCCUUCUUAGUGAAUUCGUUUCCUGCUCUGGUGCUUUUGGACUCGGUUGCUAGUCAUUCUUUUGUGUCUCAGUCUUUUAAAUGGGAGUUUGAUAUGACUCGUGGGGAUUUGGUGUGUCUGUUGCAAUUUUUCAUCACCUACUAUCAUAAAGUUUUUGCUUCGAGCGUCUUUUAUGCCUUUUACUUAGAGAUAUUCAUGGUGCCCUACCCGAUUGACCUGACUCGUAUCCCUGUGGGGGAUGUGUGUGUGAUGGUAGAGAUGAAUUGGCUAAGCAAAUUUGGAGCUGUGAUUGACUAUGGGAGGCAGUUAGUGGUGGUUGGAACCCCAAGCAGGGGAGAACUAACCAUCAAUGGUGAGGGUACUAGGUUUGGUUCAACUUUCUGAUCUACUGCCAGGGUUAGGCAGUAUCUGCAACAUGUAUGUUCAGGUUAUCUCGCAUAUAUGGUCGACACCCGAGCUGAGAAGAAGAACUCAAUAUUGGAUGUGUCAGAGGUUAGGGAGUUUCCGGAUGCUUUUGAGAAAUAUUGACUUGGUGCACCUCUAGUGAGGCAGGUGGAAUUUAGGAUCGAUUUGAUCCCCGAUGUGUCCCCAAUUACAAAGGAGUUGUUGGGCAAGAGUAUCCAAUUGAGAAUUAAACCUUGGGGAGCAUCUCUUUUAUUUGUGAAAAAGAAGGACAGGUCUCAUGGAAUAUGCAUAGAUUAUCAUGAGUUGAAAAAAUUGGUUGUGAUGAACAAUUAUCCACUUCCGAGGAUUGAUGACCUCUUCGAUCAACUACAUGGUACAUUUUGGUUCUCCAAUAUUGAUUUGAUGUUGGGAUACUACCGGAUGAUAUUCAGAGAGGAGGAUGCGGAGAAAAGAGCUUAAGAACUUGAUAUGGUCACUAUGAGUUCAUAGUGAUGUCCCUUGGGCUCACCAAUGAACCUGCAUCAUUUUAUUGAUUUGAUGAAUCGAGUAUGCAGGCCAAUGCUUGAUCGGUUGAUCAUUAUGUUUAUUGACGAUAUUUUGGUCUAGUCUAAGACCAAACAACAGCAUGAGGAGUAACUACAAGAGUAAAGGAGAGGUUAUAUUCCAACUUCAGCAAGUGUGAGUUUUGAUUAUAAGAGGUCCAAUUCUUGGGACACCUCAUCAAUCAGAAUAGUAUUCUAGUCGAUUUGGACAAAAUUAAGGUUGUUAUGCAGUGGGAGGUCACGAAGCUUCCAUUUGAGAUCUGAAGUUUUCUUAGGCUAGCAGGUUACUAUCGAACAUUUAUCCAUGAUUUCUCCAAGAUUGUUGUUUUUCUCACUCACCUGACCAAGAAGAGUCUGGAUUUAUGUUGGGGGCCUGAGCAGCAGGUUACAUUUGAGACUCUAAGACAAAGAAUCCCUGAUAUUGACCCUUCCAGAUAGUGUUGAGGACUUUGUGUUGUAUUGUAAAUCUUUGAUCAUAGGUUUAGAGGCGAUGCUCUGGCAAUGAGGUAGGGUUAUUGCACAUGCUUCUAGGAAUAGAAGCCUCACAAGGCUAUGUAUCUGACGCAUGAUCUAGAGUUAGGGGCAAUGGUGUUUUCUCUCAAAAUUUGGAGACACUAUCUUUAUGGUGUAUGAUGUACCAUAUACACUAACCAAAAAAAAAGAAUGAGAUAUCUUAUGGACCAGAUGAACCUAAAUAUGAGGUAGCGUAGGUGGCUUCAUGUGGUCAAGGAUUAUGAUUAUGUGAUCCUUUACCAUCCAUAGAAUGUCAAUGUGAUCGUUGAUUCCUUGAGAUGCAAGAUGGCUAGUGCUCCUAUCUGAGGCUUAGGAUGACCAUCAAUUCACUACUUCAUGAUUUGACCAAAGAGGCUCUGGAAGAGGGAAUCAAGAAGGAGAACUUGAAGAAGGGGAAGAACAUGGGGUGAUUGACUGAUUCGUCACCGACGUUUGGGGGUUUUUGACCCAAUGUCAAUGUGUUUGGGUUCCAGUUUCCGGUGGAGUCUGUUGUUACAAAAGGCACAUAAGUCCAUGUUCUCGAGUCACUAUGGAGCCAUGAAAAUGUAUUCAUACUUGAGGCUUAGCUAUAGGUAGCUUAUCGGUUACAUCUACAUUAGGAGUUGUGUAACAUCCCGAGAUUUUCCGGGUAUUUCCGAACCUUCUUCUAUCAUUAUCGGGUCAUAUGUAGUCCUUGGGGUUGGAAGUGUAGAGCCAAGAUAAGUUUAAGGGCAAAAGUUGCAACCUUCAGCCAGGAAUGAGUACGUUGCGCGUACAUAAGCGUACGCUAAGCAUACUAAGGUCUGCCUUAGUACGCUGGGCGUAACUUGUGUAUGCUAGGCGUACUAAUGUCUUGUUGAAACCGUAAUAUUUCGAGUUGGGGGCUAUAUAAACAUCCUUAUGGCUCCUUCUCUCAUCAUUCUCAGCCUCCGUCUUUCAGAAAUGUCCCAAACCCUAGCUUUGUGUGUGAGUGUGAGUUAGUGUGUGUUUUGAGCUCUUGAAGGUGAAGUCUUUGCAACAAGUAGUUCGAGAAGUAAGGCCAACUUGUAGAUCUGAAGUUUUCUUGUACUUUAGGAACUCUAGAAGGUAAAAAGCUUCUAGCUUGGCAACUAUUUUGAGUAGAUCUAGUAUUAUUUAGGUUCUUGCCACAUUUCUUGUCCCAAAAACCCGAAUAUGGUGCCUGAUGAAUCUUGGUCAUAUUAAGCUGUCCUUCCAGACCCUAGAAAGGGUCCUAAGUGAUAAAAAUAAGGUCCCAAUAGCUAAAUGUGUCCCAAGCAUGGAAUAAGAAGGUCUUAAUGGAUUAAUACCAAGUAUUAAGAGCUUUCUAGACGUCCAAAGUAAUAAAGUUUGUAACUUUAUGGGUCCUAGGCACAUUAGGUCUCUGGAUUUGAAGUUUGGGCUUAAGUGCUUAAGCCAUUAAGUGCUUAAUAAGAUUUUGGCAAGACACUGUGUACGCCCAGCAUAAAUCCAAUACACCCAGCGUACUGGGUCAACCACCCCGAUGAUGGUCAACAUCUGAGCAAGUGCGCCCCGCGUACCAGAGAAGUACGCCCCACGUACGUCCUCUGUUGGGCCUUUGACUUUUUGGCUUUGAGUUUUGGGUUAUUUAUGGACUAAUUGGGUUUUGGCCUUUGCUAGAGUUUAUGAAUAUAAUGUUUUGGGCCAAGCAUUGGAUAUUGGAUCUUGGGUUUAGGCCCAAUUAGGGAGUUGGGCUCAAUUUGGUAAAUUGGGCCAAUAAUGCGCCUUAUAAAUGGACUUUUUAAGUUAUGGACUUGGUAUUGGGCCUUGGACCAAUAAAGAGAAUGGACAUGAUGGAUUGUGUGGACACAUAGUCAAGACUGUAAUGUUGAGUAUUAACUUAGUGUUUAUUAUGUGAUAGUUUGGGAUUCCCGGUGAGACAACAGUCAGGGAUUUCUAGUAUUUCGACACUACUUGCGAGGUAAGUUACCUCACUAUACUAAGAGGUCUAAGGCACCAAUGCCGACCCAUUGGAUAUGAUAUCCUAGUUUUUGAUAGUAUGUUGAGUAUGAGUCAAUGUUGCAUGUUAGUUGGUAUGCAAGAUAGAUAGAUUUGUAGGACUAGUUGUAGUAUUGUGUGAUUAUCUGUAUGUGCAUUUGUUGUGUUAUAUGUCGACAUAUUAUGUGGGAUGGGUUGAGGUGAUACUGCUUUGUGCGGUAACCAACAAACCCGAGAGCAUUCCAGAUACGAGUUGAGAGAGACUCGUAUUGUGGGCUCGAUGACAAUCCAGAUGUGAGUUGUGGGCCUAGAAUGCCAUCCAGACUCACACUGUGUGCCCAGGGGUAAUCCAGUCUGUAAAGCUGUGGACCCAGUAUAUGUUGUUAAUUGUAUAUGUGUUAUGUGCAGUGUAUCGCUAUUUUGGGGGAACUCACUAAGCUUUCGGGCUUACAAUCUCAGUUUAUUGUUUCAGGUACAUCAGGGGAUCGCGGCAAGGCAAAGGCGUGACCGUACAAAUUCUGAUGUUUUGUUUAUGUUUCUAGGAAAACUCUGAUAUUAUACAUUUUGAAAACAAGUUUGUAAUGACUUAAUGAUUUUGAAAUGCUUUUAAAAGUUCAAAUUUGGCAUGAUUUUUAUAGGUGUUACAAGUUGGUAUCAGAGGCUUGGUUUGAGUGAAUUGGAGGUACAUUCGUGCGAAUCCAGUCUCAAACCAAGGAAGGAUUUUCAAAAUAAUUUUAAAAUGGUUUUCAAAAUGAUAAAAGGAGUAUACAGGGUGUGUGAUCAGCCGGAGCCAGUAAGUGGACCCCAAAAUACCAUACUGUUAUUUGAUAUUGUCAUAUGUUUGAACAACAUGCUACUACUAUGCUAGGGAUCUUUUGGAAUUGCAUAAUAGAAUUGUCUGAUUACAUGAUGCCUGCUAGCCUAGGAUUUUCCUUAUAUGAGAUUGACAUCAUUAUUGUACUAGCUUGUGUAUGUAUCAUGGUUGUACAUAAUUAAGAUCUUAUAGCCUGAGAAUGUUUGAUUUAGCCUUAUAUUCUGUUCUUGUUGAUUAGGGACUUAGGGUAGGAUCAAAUAUUUGAAAGUAUAUAGGACCCAACGUUAUGUAUGGCUAGCAUACACUAGUGCUGCAGGGUUGGUGGAAGUUUCAUGGAUGGAUGGGUUGUGUGAGACCGGUAGGUCAGUUGUGAGACAGUUAGCCUUCCUCUAGGAGUGAGGUUGAGUUACCACCACGUGUAUGUAUAUUCUUAGGGAUUUUUGGUUAUACUUGGGAUAAAUAUGGGUAGGUGUGGAAGGUAGUAUGGGCCCGUACUACUGAAAGCACAGGACCCAUACGCGUAGAAAGGAAGUCACAACCCCUAGGGUUUAGUUGGAAGUUGGUCCCCUGCUAUUAUGUGAGUUAUCUGAUAUAUUUUCAUAUGUUUUCAGAAUGGUGAUGACGAGACACUUUGAGACUGGAUCCGGUUCAGGAUCUGGAUCAGGAGACUGAGGCCAGGAGGGGCCAGCAGCACCUGAGGUUGUGGUGCAGAUGGGGAUAGACAAGUUAGAUGCCAGGAUUCGAGAUAUCCUGCAUGAUGAGGGUGCCACUUUGUUCCGGACACAACUGCCAGAGAUGUUUGGGUCUAUUAAGACCGCCAUGGUUGAGUACUUUAAUAAGCAAUACGCAACCCAUGCAGAGACUGUUGCCGUUGCAAUUGCAUCGGCUGUAACAGCGGAAGGAGGAGGAAUAGGGGCCAGUCGAGGCUUUCAGUACAAGGACUUCGAUAACACAAAGCCCCCUAAUUUUGAUGGGACUUAGGACCCCAUCAAGGGCAUGAGGUGGGUUUUUGAUAUGGAGGGGUAUUUCUUUACUUGCUCGUGUCCUACUAACCAGAAGGUCAGGUGUGCCCUGAACCUGCUCAGGUCCCGGGCCAAGGACUGGUGGAGAUUCAUGACUGGGCCAUACACUGAUGAUUAGAGAGGUGCUAUUACUUGGUAGAAGUUCAUGGAUAUGUUAUGCACCCGUUACAUUCCACGGGUUGAGUGGGAACGUUUGGCUCAAGAGUUUUUGAGUUUGAGAUGGGACGGGGAAUUGGUGACGAAGAUCACCCGCAUGUUCACAGAGAGGGCGAUGUUCUGCCCAAAGUUUGCUUCCGAGUAGGCUCAGAUGACACCUUAUAUGAGCAUGCUCAAGACUGACAUCCAUCAGUUUGUGUCUACCCAACGAUGUGAUACUCUUCUGGAGUUGCAGGAGGCCACUAGGCGGCAUGAGUUGGAGAUUGAGCUGCAGUUGAGGGAGCAACGGCAGGCCUCAAGAUAGUUGCAGCCGGCGCCAAAGCGGUCUAGGACGGCUGAUUCUAGGAUCGGGAGUCAAUAGAGCCGCACUUGAGGAAAGUGAGGCAAGGGUCAUUUUGGGGUUUGUCGAGCUGGUAAUGGGUGCCACAAGUGUGGAAAGGAGGGGUAAUAUGCGAAGGAUUGUCGCCAAGCCGCCCCAAGUCCGAGUAUGAGGUUAUGUUAUCACUGUGAUCAGGUUGGCCACUUGAAGACCAACUGUCCGUUUCUUGUCGCUAAGCCAGCGCAAGCUCCCGCACCGGCUACAUUGAAGAUUCCGGAUGGGAGGUCAGUUAAGGCAGAGCCUCCAAAGGCUCAGGGGCAUGCCUUCCAGCUUACAGCCAAGGAGGCCAUAGCAGCACCAGACGUGGUUGUUGGUAUGUUUAUAUCCUCUAUUUCUUUUAUUAUAUUUGUUUUAUGCUUAUCUGUUGUACUUGUGAUUAGGUACGUUUUUAGUGAACUCUCUGUCUGCUUUGGCUUUAUUUGACUCAGGGGCGAGUUAGUUGUUUGUAUCUCAGACAUUUAGUAGGGAGUUCAGUGUGCCAGUAGGCGAGCUAGAGUGUCCGUUGCGAGUCUCUAUUGCCAACGAACACGAGGUUUCUGCUUCUUCGAUCUACCGAGUAUGUGAGUUGGAGAUCUUCGGGGUAUCCUUCCCAAUAGACUUGAUUCCGAUCCCUAUGGGGGAGGUGUGCAUGAUUGUGGGGAUCGAAUGGAUUAGUCGAUUCGGUGUCGUGAUUGAUUGCGAGCGUCAGCGGGUGGUAGUUCGAACCCCAAGUGGGGGAGAACUGACUGUAUAUGGCGAGGGCACCAGAGUGGGAUAAGGGUGUUGUUCAGCUGCCAGGGAUCGGCAGUAUAUUCAGCACGAGUGUGUGGGUUAUCUAGCGUAUGUGGUGGAUAUGCGGGUCAGAGAUCAGACUCCAGUUUUAGAGGUUCCAGUGGUUAGAGAAUUUGUAGAUGUGUUCCCAGAGGAGUUGCCAAGGAUACCUCCGGAGAGGCAGGUCGAGUUCCGGAUCGACCCGGUGCUAGGUGUGACACCUAUCGCCAAGGAACCGUACCGACUGGCGCCACCCGAGAUGCGGGAGCUGGCGCCACAGCUGCAGGAACAGCUGGGUAAGCAGUUAAUUCAAUCAAGCAGUUCUGCAUGGGGAGCACCGAUCCUCUUCCUCAGGAAGAAGGACGGUUCGUACCGGAUGUGCAUAGAUUAUAGGAAGUGAACAAGUUGAUGGUGAAGAACCGUUAUUCACUCCCGAGGAUAAAUGAUCUCAUUGAUCAGUUACAGGGUGCAUCUUGGUUUUCCAAGAUAGACUUGUGGUCGGGAUAUCAUGAGGUCCGGGUCAGAGUGGAGGACGUGGAGAAGACCGUGUUUCGGACUCGCUAUGGACAUUACGAGUUCGUGGUGAUGACGUUUGGGCUCACCAAUGCGCCAACAGUAUUUAUGGACCUGAUGAAUCAGGUUAGCAAACCGAUGCUUGAUCGCUCGAUCAUCGUGUUUAUAGAUGAUAUCUUGUUGUAUUCCAAGAUCCGAGAGCAACAUGAGGAGCACCUUAGGGAGUUGUUGGGAGUUUUGAGAUGGGAAUGGUUGUAUGCCAAAAUUGAGGUCCAGUUCCUCGGACAUCUCGUUAACCAGGAGGGGAUUUUGGUCGACCCAGCCAAAAUUGAGGCAAUCAUGUAGUGGGAGGUGUCGACAUCUCCUUCAAACAUCAGGAGUUUUUUGGGAUUGGCAGGGUACUACCUGAGAUUCAUACCAGAUUUCUCCAAGAUUGCAGUACCCCUCACUCAUCCGAUGAGGAAGGGGGUGGAUUUCUGGUGGGGCCCUGAGCAGUAGAUGGCGUUUUAGACCCUCCGACAGUGUUUGUGCGAGGCUACGAUUUUGUAUCUCUCGGAGGGAGUCGAGGAUUUUGUGGUGUUCUAUGAUGCGUCCAUCAUAGGUUUUGGGGCAGUCCUCAUGCAGAGAGGACGGGUCAUAGCCUACGCAUCGUGACAGCUGAACCGCCUAAGAAGAGAUACCCUAUGCAUGAUCUGGAGUUGGGAGCGAUGGUUUUUGCUCUCAAGAUUUAGAGACAUUACCUCUAUGGGGUCCUCUGUACCAUAUACACAGAUCACAAGAGCCCGAGACACAUCAUCGAUCAGCUGAAACUGAACAUGAGAGAGUGCAGGUGGCUGGAUGUAGUCAAGGACCACGACAACGAGAUCCUUUACCACCCCGGUAAAGCGACUGUGGUGGCAGAUGCUCUGAGCCGCAAGUUAGCUGGGUCUUCCACCCCAGUGGUAUGUAUGAGGAUAGCAGUGGAUUCUCCAAUUGUAAGUUUGAUCAGGGAUGCUCAUAUUGAGAGCAUGCGACCAGAGAAUUGAAAACUAGAGAGGAUUAGGGGUGAGAACACCCGGUUUGUGUAGGAUAGCCAGGGAUUAUUGACCCAACGCGGUCGGGUAUGGGUUCCGAUGUCUGGUGGGGUCAGACAGACAGUGAUGGAGGAUGCUCAUAAGUCUCACUUCUCUAUUCAACCGGGGGCCACCAAGAUGUAUUAGGAAUUGAGCUUAAUUUACUGGUGGCCGUGCAUGAAGCGAGAAAUCGCUUGGUAUGUCGAGAGGUGCUUGACAUGUAAGAUGGUCAAGGCCGAGCAUCAGAGACCACAUGACAAACUGCAGCCCCUGGAGAUUCCCAUGUGGGAAUGGGAACAAAUCACGAUGGACUUCAUUACCAAGUUGCCGAGGACGACGAAGGGGUUUGAUGCUAUAUGGGUCAUCGUGGAUCGAUUAAUCAAGAGUGCCCAUUUCUUGGCUAUACGAGAGAGUUUAUCGACCGAGAAGUUGGCCGAUGUGUAUGUCUGCGAGAUCGUCGCUCGCCACGGGGUUCCGGUCUCCAUUGUUUCUGACCGAGAUGUUAGAUUUACCUCCUGUUUUUGGCAGAAGUUCCAUUAGGAACUGCACACGCGGAUGCACUUUAGCACAACAUUUCAUCCGCAGACCGACGGUCAUAUUAAGAGGACCAUUCAGACCCUCAAGGAUAUAUUGAGGGCUUGUGUCAUUGACUUCGGUGGGAUUUGGGAUUCCUACCUACCGUUUGCGUACUUCGCCUACAACAACAACUAUCAUUCCAGCAUUAGCGCCCCGCCUUUCAAGCUGUUGUAUGGUCAGAGAUGUCGCACCCCGGUUUGUUGGGGUGAGGUCAGACACACGGUGAUGGAACGGAUGGAGGUAGUCUUCCAGACUACCGAGAAGAUUCAACAGAUUAGGCAGCGACUGCAGACUACUCAACGUCGGCAGAAGAGUUACGCCGACAGAUGCCUAUAUGAGUUAGAGUUCCAUGUUGGUGACAUGGAACUCCUGAAGGUCUCACCCUGGAAGGGUAUGAUCCACUUCAAGAGGAGGGGGAAAUUGGUUCCCCAAUACAUUGGGUCAUUCAGGAUCGUUUCCAAGGUUGGCAAGGUGGCAUAUAGCUCAAAGCUACCAGAGGAGCUCAGUGGUGUCGUUGGAUGAUAUUCAGGUCGAUGAGCGCCUGAAUUACAUGGAGAGGCCCAUGGCUAUACUAGAGAGGAAGAUGAAGGUACUACGGAACAAGGAGAUACCUUUGGUAAAGGUACAGUGGGAGCAUCAGAGGGGAUCUGAGUGGGCAUGGCAGCCCGAGUCUGAGAUGUGGGAACAUUACCCUGAUCUAUUUACCACAGCCGACUUGAAGGACGAAGUAUAAGUCAAAUGGGAGAGAAUUGUAACAUCCCGAGAUUUUGCAAGUAUAUCUGAACCCUCUUCUAACAUUAUAUGAUCAUUUGUAUUACUUGGGGUUGCAAGUGUAGAGCCAAUAUAAGUUUAUGGGCCAAAGUUGCCACCUUGGGCCAAGAAGGAGUACGAUGCGUGUACAUAAGCGUAUGCUAAGCAUACUAAGGUCCGCCUUAGUACGCUGGGCGUCACUUGUGUAAGCUGGGCAUCACUUGUGUACGCUGGGCGUACUAAUGUCUUGUUGAAACCCUAAUAUUUCGAGUUGGGGGCUAUAUAAACAUCCUUAUGGCUCAUUAUCUCUCAUCAUUCUCAGCCUCCAUGUUUCAGAAACGUCCGAAAACCUAGGUUUGUGUGUUAGUGUGAGUUAGUGUGUGUUUUGAGCUCUUGAAGGUGUCUUUGCAUCAAGUAGUUGAAGAAGUAAGGACAACUUGUAGAUUUGAAUUUUUCUUCUCUUGGGGGCAAAACAUUAGUGGAAGUUUGGCACUCAAGGAUUUUCUACUAUGGAGUGGGCCGUCGUGACAUGGGAGUAGUUUACAUAGAUGUUUUGAACUGAGUAUUUUCCACUAAGAUAUAUAUAUAUAUAUAUAUAAAGAGAGAGAGAGAGAGAGAGAGAUAGAGAUAGAUUAACUCAGGAGUUUAUGUCCCUAAUGCUGAUGACGGAAUCCGUGAUGAAGAUCACCGACAUGUUUACUUAGUGAGCCCUCUAUUUUCCCAAGUAUGCUGCUUUGGAGCAGUUUUAGAGGUCGUGAUACUUGAGGAUGCUUAAGACAUAGAGUCGGGAGUUUGUGUCGACUUUGUAGUACCAUUCCCUUUUAGAGUUGUAGUCCUUUUCCUGGAGGAAGGAGAUUGAGAUUGAGAGCCAGGUGAGAGAGAACUGGAAGGCCUCAGUCCAGAAUAAUCCUAUAGCUAAGCGGUUUAAGCACGUUGAUUCCCAAUCCACAUGACAGAGAGGCCACACUUAUGGCAAGUGCGUGAAGGUGCACGAGGGAGUGUGUUGUUCAGUAAUCGGGUGUCACAAGUGCUAAUAACAAACACAAUUUUAUAGAUUGUCGUCAGUAGCAGCAACCCCCACCAUAGCACACUCGAAUUUGUUAUCAUUGUGAUUACGUUGGCCAUGUACAGUACAUCUAUCCAUUUCUUGCUUCUAGGUUUGUGUAGGAACGAACUCCUACUACUCUUCGGUUCGCGGAUGGCCUUCAGGGGAGGCUUGAAGCCCUGAAGGUUAGAGGUUGUGCAUUUUAGCUGACUGUGGAGGAUGCCAAGGCAGCUCCCAACCAGAUUACUAGUAUGCAUGAAUUUAUAUUCUGUCAAAUUAAUUUCUAAAUUCUUGCAUUUAUGUUUCAUUUACUUUCGUUCUUAGUGAAUUUGUUUCCUGCUCUGGUGCUUUUUGACUCGGUUGCUAGUCAUUCUUUUGUGUCUCAAUCUUUUAAAAGGGAGUUUGAUAUGACUCGUGGGGAUUUGGAGUGUCUGUUGCAAUUUUUCAUCACCUACUAGCAUAAAGUUUUUUCUUCGAGCGUCUUUUAUGGCCUUACCUUAGAGAUAUUCGUGGUGCUCUACCCGAUUGACUUGACUCCUGUCCCUGUGGGGGAUGUGUGUGUGAUGGUAGGGAUGAGUUGGCUAAGCAAAUUUGGAGUUGUGACUUACUAUGAGAGACAGUUAGUGUAGGCCUGGCAACCGUGUCGUGUUCGGGUUGGCGUGUCGCGGGUUGGCGUGUCAAAAUAUGCUAACCCAAACACGACCCAUUUAAAUAUACAGGUCACGGGUUGGCGGGUCACGUGUUGGCGGGUUUGGAACAUAAACCCAUAUAUGACCCGCCAACCCAUUUAUUUAUACGGGUUCACAGGUUGGCUAGUUUGUGGGUCAGAUUUGGGUUCGUGGGUCCGAAUUUUAGACAUUUAAGUCUUAAACAUCCAAAUGAAAAUUAUAAACAUUCAUAGAAACAUGUUACAGACUUAGCCUUAUAGGUUACGACUUACGACCUUAGACCAUUCACCACGAGUCAAAAUGUCAAAACAGUCAAAUGGUCUAUGAAUCAAUGGUAUAUAUUGUAUAAUACUUAUUAAAUAUUCAUACUUGAUACAUAAAUACAUUUAAAAGUAAAAUAAUUUCUUUGUUAAGAAUAUAAACGGGUUGGCGGGUCAAGCCGUUUAUUUUUUGAGAAACUCAUAUAUGACCCGUUUAAUAAACAGGUUGGCGUGUUGACGGGUUAGCGGGUUGGCGGGUUGAAAAACUCAACCCAAACCCAUUUAUUUCGUGUCGUGUCGCGUGUCGUGUCGAGAAUUGCCAGCCCUAAGUUAGUGGUAGUUGGAACCCCAAGCAGGGGAGAACUAACCAUCAAUGGUGAGGGUACCAGGGUUGGUUCGGCUUUCUGAUCUACUACUAGGGUUAGGCAGUAUCUGGAACAUGUAUUUUCAGGUUAUCUCGCAUAUGUGGUCGACAAACAAGCUGAGAAUAAGAACUCAAUUUUGGAUGUAUCAGACGUUAGGGAGCUUCCGGAUGCUUUUGAUAAGUACCGACUCGGUGUACCUCUAGUGAGGCAGGUGGAGUUUAGGAUCGAUUUGAUCCCUGGUGUGUCCCCAAUUACAAAGGAGUUGUUGGGCAAGAAAUGUAUCCGAUUGAGAUGUAUACCUUGGGGAGCACCCUUUUAUUUGUGAAAAAUAAGGACAGGUCUCAUUGAAUGUGCAUAGAUUAUUAUGAGUUGAACAAAUUGAUUGUGAUGAACCAUUAUCCACUUCCGAGGACUGAUGACCUCUUCGAUCAACUACAUGGUACAUUUUGGUUCUCCAAUAUUGAUUUGAUGUUGGGAUACUACCAGAUGAUAUUUCAGAGAGGAGGAUGCGGAGAAGAGAGCUUACGAACUUGAUAGGGUCACUAGGAGUACGUAGUGAUGUCGCUUGGGCUCACCAAUGAACCUGCAUUUUUUUAUUUAUUUGAUGAAUCGAGUAUGCAGGCCGAUGUUAGAUCGGUUGAUCAUUGUCUUCAUUGAUGAUAUUUUGGUCUACUCUAAGACCAAACAACAACAAGAGGAGUAACUACAAGAGUAAAUUUGAGUGUUGAGGAAGGAGAGGUUGUAUUCCAACUUCUGCAAGUGUGAGUUUUGAUUAUAAGAGGUCCAAUUAUUAGGGCAACUCGUCAAUCAGAAUGGUAUUCUGGUCGAUUUGGCUAAAAUUGAGGUUGUUAUGCAGUGGGAGGUCCCGAAGCUUCCAUUUGAGAUCCUAAGUUUUCUUAGGCUAGCAGGUUACUAUCGAAGAUUUAUGCAGGAUUUCUCCAAGACUGUUGUUUUUCUCACUCGCCUGAUGAAGAAGAGUCUGGAUUUAUGUUGUGGGCCUAAGCAGCAGGCUACAUUUGAGACUCUGAGACACAGAAUAUGUGAGUCCCUGCGAUUGACCCUUCCAGAUAGUGUUGAGGACUUUGUGUUGUAUUGUAAAGCUUCGAUCAUAGGUUUAGAGGCGAUGCUCAGGCAAUGAGGUAUGGUUAUUGCACAUUCUUCUAGGAAUAGAAGCCUCACAAGGCUAGGCAUCUGACGCAUGAUCUAGAGUUAGGGGCAGUGGUGUUUUCUCUCAAGAUUUGGAGACACUAUCUUUAUGGUGUAUGAUGUACUAUAUACACGAACCAAAAACAGAAUGAGAUAUCUUAUAGACCAGAUGAACCUGAAUAUGAGGCAUCGUAGGUGGCUUGAAGUGGUCAAGGAUUAUGAUUAUGUGAUCCUUUACCAUCCAGAGAAUGUCAAUGUGAUCGUUGAUUCCUUGAUAUGCAAGAUGGCUAGUGCUCCUAUGUGAGGCUUAUGCUUCAGGAUGACCAUCAAUUCACUACUUCAAGAUUCGAACAAAGAGGCUCGGGAAGAAGGAAUCAAGAAGGAGAACUUGAAGAAGAGGAAGAACAUUGGGUGAUUGACUGAUUCACCACCGACGAUCGGGGGUUUUUGACCCAGUAUCGAUGUGUUUGGGUUCCAUUUUCCGGUGGAGUCUGUUGUUACAGGAGGCACAUAAGUCCAUGUUCUCGAGUCACCCAGGAGCUAUGAAAAUCUAUCGAUACUUGAGGAUUAGCUAUAGGUGGCCUAUCGGUUAGAUCUACAUGAGGAGUUGUGUAACAUCCCUAGCUUUUGCAGGUAUUUCCGAACCUUCUUCUAUCAUUAUGGGGUCAUAUGUAGUCCUUGGGGUUGGAAGUGUAGAGCCAAGAUAAUUUUAAGGGCCAAAGUUGCACCCUUCGAAUAAGAAGGAGUACGUUGCGCUUACAUACGCGUACGAUAAGCGUACUAAGGUCCGCCAUAGUACGCUGGGUGUAACUUGUGUACGUAGGGCGUACUAAUGUCUUGUUGAAACCCUAAUAUUUCGGGUUGGGGGUUAUAUAAACACCCUUGUGGCUUAUCUUCUCUCACCAUUCUCAGCCUCCAUCUUUCAAAAAUGUCCCAAACCCUAUCUUUGUGUGUGAGUGUGAGUUUGUGUGUGUGUUUUUUCAGCUCUUGAAGGUGAAGUCUUUGCAACAAGUAGUUGGAGAAGGAAUGCCAACUUAUAGAUCUGAAGUUUUCUUGUACUUUAGGAACUCCAAAAGGUAAAAAGCUUCUAGCUUGGCAACUGUUUUGAGUAGAUCUAGUAUUAUUUAGGUUCUUGGCACAUUUUUUGUCUCAAAAACCCCAAUAUGGUGCAUGAUGCAUCUUGGUCAUAUUAAGUUGUCCUUCCAGACCCUAGAAAGGGCCCCAAGUGAUAAAAAUGAGGUCCCAAUUGGUGAAUGUGUCCCAUCCAUGGAAUAAAAAGGUCUUAAUGGAUUAAGACCAAGUAUUAAGAGCCUUCUGGACGUCCAAAGUGAUAAAGUUCAUGAGUUUAUGGGUCCUAGGCACGUUAGGUCUCUGGAUCUAAAGUUUGGGCUUAAGUGCUUAAGAUAUUAAGCACUUAAUAAGAUUUUGGCAAGACACUGUGUACGCCCAGCGUAAAUCCAAUAUGCCUAGCGUACUGGGUCAACCACCCCGGUAGUGGUCAACAUAUGAGCGAGUACGCCCCGCGUACCAGAGGAGUACUGUAACACCAAAAUUUUCAAAGAAUUUUUCACAUUUUCAAAACAUACUUUCAUUCAUAAAUAUUAUAAAAAUUUCAUUGUAUCACAUACCAAUCCAUAGAAACUUAACCCUAAGAUCAUAAUGUAUAAAAACUCCUCAUGUGUGUAUUGAUCAUGUUGGCGCCUUCCCGCGAUCCUCACUGGUACCUGAAACACAUAACACAACAUUGUAAGCAUAAAUGCUUAAUGAGUUCCCGAAACUACCACAUAUCACACAUAAUAGCCACUCGAGGCUAUAACUCUAUGGACCCUCUAGUCCCAACUCUAUGGACCCUCUGGUCCUAACUGUGUGAACCUUCCGGUUGUAACUCUGUAACUCUGGAACAUACACGACAUGAAUCACAUAGAAAUAAUGCAGAGUAUCACAAUCACAUAAAUAACAUACAAGAUACUCUGUCAUAUACCUCUAAUUACCACUCCAGGUAAAGUAUAAUGAGAAGACUCACCUCGGGUAACUCGGUAAAUCUCAAACUCGGUAAAAUCUGGUCAAGCCCCUGCCUAAUCACAUGGAAUAAGAAGUGUAAUAAAUACAACCCUCAAGGCUAGAUUAAUCCCUCUCUUAGCAUUAUCAUAAGGGUAAAAGUCCAUUUUACCCCUCUCAUGGCUCAAAGACCCAAACAUUUACCAAACCCUAAAAGUUAACAAAAGUCAACUCUCCGGGUUACGCUGCGCGUACCAACCAUGUAUGUUUGGCGUAGCCAGCAACCUUACAGAAUCAGGGAACACGACCCCCUAUGCUGCUCGUACUGGGAUUACGCCUCGCAUAAAUCCCAGUUUCACGCUCCUUUGCUUUUGGGGUCUUAAACGGUUAAGACACACGUCCAACUCCCAGAUUUGACUACCCCUAAGCCUCUUAAUUCAUAAAGUUUGUGAAUUUAAGCCUUUGCAUGGCUAUGAGAGUCACCAACACCCAAAUCAUUCCACUUCUAACACUUUAAAGCCCAUAACUCAAAUAUGACUUCAUAAUGACGACUAAGUUGGGAUCUUUAUGGCUCAACAACACACAUAACACUGAAAUGGGACAUAUCUGUUGGGUUUUGAGCAUUCUAACACUCCUAAGUGUACAUGCAACCCUAAAUGCCUUGGAUCUAUGUUUUCUCUAUUACACAUGCAAAUAUGAAUAUUCCAAGGUGUUACCCUAUCUAGCAAACAAUCCUUGAUACUUAUGUAAUAUAACAAGUUAGAACACAUACCUUUUAAUGAAUCUUGAAGUCUUGAACUUUAAGAGCUUAGCCCCAAUAGUGUGGAAGCCUCAAGUGGAAUCACAAAUCACCAAAACACCUUGGAAGACUUUAGAGAAUAUGGAUACUUGGCUCAUACUUAUGAAAUUGGUUAUUGGCCUCUUUAGUGUAUCCACACUAGCCACUAGCCUAAUUUCAUGAACCAUAAGACCCUUUAUAUAGUGUGGAGGAAUAUGGUUAAACCCUAAUACCAUGACCUUUCAUUUCUUAUGAUCCAUGGGUGAAAGCUCCAUGGACUAUCCAUGAAUACUUAGCCCAACCUAAAUGAACUUGGCCCACUAUACAUAUAUAUCUAAGAGUCCAUAUUAAUUUAGUUCCUUUUGAUCACUUAAUUAAUUUUAAAUUAAUUCUUGAUCAAUACUAAUUAAAUAAUAUGAUUAUAUACUAAUAUAUUAGAACUUAUAAUAUAUUAAUAUAAAUCAUCAAUAUACUAUUCUCAAAAGACUAUCCAUAUAAAUUGUGUCGUUGAAGUGCAACCCAAAUGGACCAUGUCGGGUUGGGUCAAGUACAUACCAAAUAUAGUUAUGGACUUAAACAUUAAUCCAACAGUCUCCCACUUGGAUAAGUCUAUAACUAUUAUUGAGUAUGACUUCAAAAACCAACUGGCUAUCGUAGCUGUUAAAGCCGCUGUCGAACUCUAAUCUUGUCAAGGAACUCUAACCUUUGUAAAUUACUUGUCCAUUAGAUAAGGGAUCAUAUAUUCCUCCAUUCUAGAUAUCAUAUGGACUGAGACAUGGAUUAUAAUCACUCUCUCUGUCCAUUUGUUGUUUCCCGAUUUUCGAUUUAUGAUGACUGACUGAUUGAACAAAUCAAAUCAGUCAAGCACUCACAUGUGUCAUCACUAAAUCAUCUAGGGGCCCACAAAUAUCGCUUUUAUCCCGAAGGUAAAAGGAAUGGAUAAACUUUGACUCAUAUGGCUUGUUCUACUACUUGUUAAAUCAUACACAAAGGCACGUUUUAUAACAUCGAGUUACCAAUGCGGUUUUGUGCAAUCAUUGUACAACCAACUCAUAAUAACAACUCAUAUCUCUAGGUUUGAAGAAUAUAAGAUCUUAUCGUCUCAUGAUUACUCUUGAUAAAAUCCAUGAAGUGAUUGAAAUGAGCGUCGGUUGAAUCCAAUACUCAGAACUUAUGAGCACUCAUGAGUGUUGUAGCACAACUUUGUCCACCAACUUGGACCUCUACAAGCUAACCCAUGACAGUCUUGAUUCAUAUCUGCUUCCAACAUAUGACUGACUGUGGAUGGUUUGAAUAACUUAGUCAUUCCGGAAGAAUAACCUAGUUAUUAUGGAAGUCAAAACAUGCAAAGUGAAACACAAGCAUAAAUGAAUCAAAUAUGGUAUCAAACCCUAUGAAUAUAAAUAGACCACUUUUAUUUAUCAUCAUACUGAUUACUCAUUAUUCAUUGUUUCGGUUUUAUGAACUUUAUACUUGAAUUAAAAACACUGGUUGUCCUAUGCUCCAAGCAUGUACACUAUGUUUUUCUAAACAAUAGCUUUGCCAUACACCAAAUAUGCACUCUAUGUUUAUCUAUGAUCCUUACUUUGUGAACUAGAUCGAUUGAACAUAAUUUCAAUGAUUCUCUUUUAAACUUAUACGCAUUGUUCCUCUUGUAAUGAUUAUGCACAAAGCCACAAAGACUUGGCAACAAUCAUUAUAGAGUAUUCCAAUGGAGAGAAAUUCCAUGGAAACGAUUUCUCAAAUUCAAAGCGCAUUGCUUUGAACAUGCUUCUUGCAUUAUGUUUCUUUAACCUUACACAGAUUGCUUCCACCUAUGAAGACAGCUCUAUAUUCCCAUUUGACUACCACUUCUGAACAAGAGUUGCCUCUUUUUAGACUAUGUCAAUAUGGUCCUUCCAAUAUUAACAGUAUACUUCCAACUGUCCUUGAGCAACCAAUCUUUGGUAAACCUUAGAUUGUCCUCGACAAAUGCUUAAUCACUUUAGUGAUAUCCAAUUCUAGAAAUUUUCCUUUUUAAUGCCCUAAGGCAUUUGGAAAAUUCAGAAAGGAUAAAUAUUAUAGCACAUGUAAUCGAUCAUGUACCCAAAGUAAAUGGGACACGAUUCAUGAUGUUUCACAUAAAGACAUGGUUCUAGACCAGUCUUUGCCAUAAUAAUUUUUGUUUGCCAUAUUCUCAAAUUUUGACUAUGCAAAGGGAUGCCGUAAUCAUAAUCGAAUUUUGAGAACGCAAUAAAUAGAAUUUUCUUAAGUUGAACCAAUACAACAUGAAAUUCAUAUNAUAUAUAUAUAUUCUUGAGUAAAGGUGAUUAAAAUCUCAAUAUAAUCUCUUUGGAAUGAUUAUAAACUCAAUCUUAGCUUUUUAGAAUUGAAAUGAUGUAUAAUUUCCUCUCCCUUAAUAUAGCAAAACAACUUUUUCAACCCCUGCAACCUCACAAAUUGAAACUUUUGUUAUCUAUAAUUAACAUUGGUAACUUGCAAUACUUAUCAUAAUUAUUAUGCUCCUACUAACAUGAUUAUUAGCAUAACACUUAUGCUCCCACUGGCUUUGACAUGUAUCCAGAAAACAGUUGGACCUCUAGAAGUCAAUACAUUAUUUACAUUCUUACCAAAGUUCAUAUUUCUGAUACUAGAUUUCUUUGAUAAGACUUUAUCAAAAUCAUACAUCUUAUCUUAGAUAGAUCACUGGUGUGUCUAAACAACUUCAUUACUAUGAAAAGGGAUGCCAAAAUCAUAGUCUCAAUUGCUUAGACCUUUUGCCAUUUCUCAUAAGUCAAUGUUAGUGUGCCGGUUAACCACGCACGCUCCACUAACGACUUUGAGAACUGCAAAUAUCACAAUUGCUAUCUACUUAAAAUCUACUUAGUGAAAGAAUUUCCUCACCAUCAUUUUCAUGAAUUGGAGAGAAACCUUAUGACACUUAGAUUUUAUGGUGUUUGUGUUCUUAUCCAUGUGAAAUUUUCAAACCAAAAUCACAAUACUAGGUUAGUGACAAAUCCUAACUCAUAUGGAUUGAACUUGUGCAAUCUUAACUUCUUGCCACCUGGCAGCUCAAGGGCCUGACAUUGCUUCCAAGUAGCUAUGCAAACAAUUGAGAACAUGUAGAACUCAAAUGUAUAGCCAACUUAAUUGGAAUGGGCACAUAAAUAUCAACACGAUAGAUUAUAAACCUCUAGUUGUGUGCUAGUGAUGAAAUACAUGUUUUAUUUUUGAUUUUUUCUUGAAACCCUUUCAGGAUCUUUUAGACUCCCACUGUCUCCUUGACCUAUAAGACUUUCUUGCCUAAUAUUCAAGAGAUAGUGUGGAUUCUAAUCAAGAUAAACACUUAACACAAUUGGCCUAAGUUGGUCUCUGUUUUAUCCAAAACAUCACAACUUACCAAAUUCAAAUGUACAAGAGUAGAAAACCUUUUACUCUUACAUUUCACUAGUGCUAAUAAACCUUCUUUAAGAUGUGUCACUUAAGUUACAUUUGUGGUAGGCUUGAUCAGUGCACAAGAAUGUGUACUCGAUCCCUUAGUCCUUUACUUGACUCACACACCCAUGUGAACAAGUAAUUAGUCUUAAUUUUCCAAAGCUUGAAAGUUCUCAUUCAUCAUACUAUACAACUUGCAUGAUUCCAAGUUUCUAUCCAACUGAAACUUGGGUGAUGAGAAGCUUUCCUUAUUUGGAAAAUUUAGACACUACCACAAAUGAAAGAAUCAAAUUCAUAUUUCCACUCUUGCUAUUAAUGGAAUCAUAUAAGCAACAAUUUUUUUCCUUUUCACAAAUGCCAUUGUAAGGAUAUUUUAAAAUAAAUAAAAUCAAAUUUUUUUCCUUUUAUUUUAACAACUUUGCGGAAAAACUAUCCUUACAGUGCAAAAGCACAUGAAAAACUUUGUUGUUAUCACUACUAGAAAAAAAACCUUUUACGACGCUCAUUGCACGUUGUAAAAGGCUCAGACGACGCGCAAAUGCGCGUCAAGGAAGGCCCUGUCAUAAAGAGAGACGACGCGCAUUUACGACGCUCAUUUAUGACACGCAAUUACGACGCGUGUUUACGACACGCAAUGCGUAUCAAGGAAGGCCCUGUCAUAAAGGAAGACGACACGCAUUCGCGUGUCGUAACCUUACGACGCGCGUGUUAAUGACACGCAAUGCGUAUCAAGAAAGCCCCUGUCAAGAAAGGCCAUGUCAUAAAUGAAGAUGACACACAUUUUUGCGUAUCGUAAAUUUAGAUAUUUAAACAAAGUAUUAUUUAUAGAUUUACUAAUUUUCAAAUUAAAUAAUACAUUAAAAAUGUCAUAAUACAAAAUAAAAUACCAUAAAUAACAAAGAUAAUUCAUUUCACUAAUAGAUCAAAUACAAAUAAUUAUUCCAAAAGUAAGUAAAUGUUAUAAAAAAAAUGAACUCAUUUAUAUACAAUUGCAUCAUUUAGAUUACUAUGUGCUAACAACUCUUUGUGUGUUUACUUUUGCUUGAGUCUUGUUUCCUCCAAAGCUUCUAGCCAUGCCAAAAUAUGAUACCUAUUGAUAAGAUUAAGAUAUUUAUUAACCCAGUCCCCGCUUGCACCCACUUGCAGGCCUGACUUGGUUAUCCUCAAUAGUCAAUUCCCCACAACUCAUCUUUGAAACAAACUAAAGGAACUUGGAGUUCUGCAUGUUAUUUACCAAACCAAAUAAAUAAUAUCCUGAUUAUAGACUUAAAAAAAUACAUUUACCAAUUCAUAUUGACCAUGUCCACACCGAUAACAGCACCACAGGAUGGAAUUGGGCAUCUCAAAGUCAAACAUUCAGGACCAUCAUUGAUAUAUGUGCUCAUGUAAGCUACCAUCUUCAUUGGCAAAGCAUGCUUCAUGAACAUUGGUAACAUUCCUGCAGGGUUAUAUAGCAACUUGUUAGAUAGAAGAAAUUUAAAAUCUUGAUACAGAACAAUUUGUUAUUCACAAAAAUUAAACACUUUACCAGUUAAUAAGAAAGUAAAAUGGUUUCAAAAAAAUUGAAGCGUUAUUACCGUUCUCUUUCCUUCUUUACCAAAAUUGUGAUGUAUGCCAUAUGAAUAUUCUUUGUCAAAUCUCUCAGCUCCAACCUACAUUAUAAUUCUUUUAAAUGCUCCAGCAACAUGAAAAUAAUUCUUUCAAAUUUGCAAUUCUUUUAAAUGCUCCAACAACCGGAGUAAAGUACACGCUUCUUUGAAAACAAAGGCAAUACACGAACAAAUUUUGAAAGGAAAUUGGAACGCAAUUACAUAGCUACCAUUUUUUUAAGUAAAAAUUAGAUACAAGACUAAUAAACUACAAUUCUAUUGAAUUUAAAAAAGUAAAAUUUAGAUACAAGACUAGUAAACUAGAAUUCUAAUGAAUUUAAAAAAGUAAAAAUUAGAUACAAGACUAAUAAACUACAAGACUAAAAAAAUGGAAGGAUUUAUCUCUCAUUACCUCUUCAUGUUCAAUUGUCCGGCCAAAUGGAAUUAUAAUUUGAGACUCGAUAAACCUUGUGGGCCGCAUCUCGGGAUACCCAUACGGGUUAGCUUUAACUGAGGAAGCAGAUAAGCAUUCACAUUAAAAGCGGCCCAUUCUGAUUGAUGCUCCCGUUAAAAGCGGACCAAAACAGCCGGAGGUACAUUCUAGAACAAAAAAAAUUACAAGAAUAUAAGGCACUAACCAAAAUGAGGGGCAUUUUAGUCAAUACACAACACUCACUUGAAACAACAUCGAGGCCUUUUCACAAAGAACCCCUCCAAGAAACGAGAUGGAAUUUGAAUUCUUGGUUGAAUUAAUCAUGACAAUCACAUCCUCAGCACCAUCAUUUUAUGUCCCCAAGUGCAGUUAACUCAUUUUACGUUAGCAUUCAACUUGCUCUUUUCCCUGCACCAAGAAUUAUGUUUUUUUUUAAGUCAAUUCAAGUAAUUUACACACACAUAGACACACACACACACACACACACACACACACNAUAUAUAUAUAUAUAUAUAUAUAUCUGAAUGCAGUUGUUGUUACAGAUAUCCUUGCACCAAGAAUUAUGUAUUUUUUCUUUUCCCUGCAUCAAUACUGAAUGCAAUUUUUGUUACAGAUAUGUGCUUGAUUUAGUAGUUUGCAAUUGGGGUUUUCUUUUUCUCUCAAUUUAGUAGAGCAAAUCGCUUGUGCGUUGGAGAUCAAAUUAUACUCGGUUGAGUAAAUCAUCUAAAUUUUAGGAUGUUUGGCAUUAUCCAACCUCCUUUAACAAUAAGGUCAAUGCAGUUAACAAUCUAUAUUUUAGGAUGUUUGGCAUUAUCCAACCUCCUUGUGCGUUGGAGAUCAAAUUAUACUCAUUCAAUUGUAAUCACCCAUCCUUCUAGAUAAAACUGAAGAUAUAUAAAUGUAAUUUCACAUCCCCAACAGAUGUCAUCUUACCUGUUUAUGCAUCAUUUUAACCAUAAUCAAGAUAACUGACCUAAUUUUCUCUUUAUACAUUUUCAUAUCAGUUUACCUUCCUAAUUUUCUGAUUUGUUAAAUCUGUAGGCACAUGAGAUUGUUUAGUUUUCAAAGUACAUUAAAGAGAAGCUGAAAGAAAUACUCCAACAUAUAAUUUUAUAUUAUGACCUUAGAAGGAGAACUAGAUGAAAAACAUACCAUCUCAGCCACUUGUAGGACUUGACUAAACCCAAACCACGAGGAUGAAAACUGGGUCUUUAGACGCCUCUUUCCCCUACUGAAGCAGUGUGAUUAAAAAAGAAUUAAAAUAAAGAAAUUAAAGAAAACCUGGUGGUCAUCUAUGUAUAAAUCAGCCGGGUACAAAAGCAUCAACUUAUAUUAGGAAGAUUCUCCAUUUGUUCAUUAAAGACUUCAGCCCCUCUUUCCUGAAUGACAAUGCACUGAAUUUCACCAACUAAUCUAUAAGGAUAAAGAUAUUGUUGGGGAUAUUAGUUAUAGAUACUUAAGAAUGGAUGAAAUUAUGAAUUUCUUCAAGUAUUAGUUACUGUGAUGAAGUUAAAUGUGUACAAGUUCAUUGCAGAUAAUACCUCAGGCUAAGCAAGAUUGCAGAAAGUUAGAACUGUCAUUCGCAAAACAAGAGCACCAUUAGAAAAAGCAAAGAAAGAUUGCAGAAAGUUAUAACAAAAAAAAAGGAUUAUAGACAAACUAGUUUACCAGAUAUGCCCUCCCAUACAAGAAAACAUUGACUGCACCAAAGGAAGCUUUUUAAAAUCUUAAGUCACAAGGAGUGACCCAUUUGACAUACUAUUGUUGAUCUCACAAAAUAUUCUUUCAACUUUGAAAGUAAUAUCAGUGAGAAAUANCAUAACAUUGGCUACAAUCUCCUUCAAAAAAAAAAGGUUGUUGGUGUACUUGGGACAUCAUCUAUUGUUUGUUCAGAAACUGAGUCCUUUCCUUGUUAAUUAUUGAUUUGGGAGACUUGUACAUCCUCUGUGAUGGGUAAAUUGGUAAAUACUUGUAUCAGUUAACAAUCAUGACACCCAAAAAGUAACAAGUUUAUGAAUAAAUAAAAGAAAGUGUGACCCAAAAAGAAUAUGACCAAACCAAACCUUAUCAAUCCCUAAUACAUGAUCUGUGCUUGAUAGAAUCCUUUUCUUUUUCUGUGAAGUCAAAUACCUCAUGAAGAAAUUCAUUUUCCUGUACAAAUUGAAUCAAUCAUUUAUAUAGUAAUGUGUUAAAAAUAAACAAUAUUUUUCUAUUGUGAUCAUAGUUUUACAUCCUUAAAUGCACCAUUCUUUAAGUUGAAUGUAAAACAUAAAUAACAAAUUUUCUUGUCAGUGUUGUCAGUGUUGAGAAAAGGAAUGAAUUGCCUAAUCGAGACAAGUUGGGAGUCCCCAGAAAGUUCAGGCUCGGGGAUGGCACACUGUUGUACAGAUCUAUCGAUUGCUUGAAACAUCCAUCAUACAACCCAAGGAAAAUCUUUAAGAAAACUACUUUCUUUUGAUUCAAUAUCAUACAACUAGAUCUUUUUACAAAUGGAUCACUGCUAAUCUUAGUUUGUAUCAGAUCUUGUUAAGUUUAGUGUGAUUGUUCUUUUCUGGUAUAAAAAAGUUUCAGAAUUCAUAUAAUCCAGUUUGAUCAUGUCGGUAUAACAUGAUUCAGUAUUCAAAUGAAUUCAGAAUUUCAGCGGAAUCUUAUAAAUUGUUGAUUGUAUAAGGAAUUAAAGUAGAAUCCAAAAAAGUGGGAUGGGGUCAUACCUGUAACUUUGAGGCCACGAUGGGUUUAAGGAACUAGGUUUUCUUUGAUGUUGAGGGUUAUCGUCUGAAUAAUUUGAAAAUUCUGAAUCAUUCCCAUCGUCUUCACCUCUAAUGGAGUCCUUGUCUUCCUCAUAAUCUUCGCUCUUGAUGAAAAAGGCUUGAUCUGAUAUUGAAUUCUUCAUUUUCUCACAAAUUUCGUAGCCUUCUUUUCAGAUCUCUGAGACUUCAAAUAAAAUAGGUUAAUCUCGUGUAAGAUAAGCUUUAAACAAAAUCAACUCAUUAGAAUCAUAUUCAACUUCUAUAUUAAUCUAACCUAGGGCUUGUAAACUUGAACAAUCGUUGUACUCUUUGGUGAGGUGAAGUGAGCCCGAGGUCACCGGCGAAAACAGAUGAGUCGAGGUCAGAGGUGAGUUGAGGUAGAUUCGGUAGUGGUGGAGGCGGAUUAGGGUUUAUAGAGAAAAGGGGAAGGAGAGAGUGACGGUUGUCGGCUGGUGGCGUGCUUGCGUUGAUCGACGUCGACGACCGGGAAUGGCAAGUAAUGAUGGUCGAAGUAGGUGGGAAGAAGUAGGGAGCCGUCAAUUUCGGGAGGGGAAAGAAGGAGCGUCGAUAAUUAGGGCAAGAGGGAAAGUAAGAAAAAGGAAGGCGGGGUUUUUAAUUUUUAGAAUUUCAUUUCCCCCGCCCCCCAACUAUUAAAGGAUGGAACCGUGUUUCCAUUAAAAUUUAUAAAGCGACAUCUUCAGACGACACACAUUUUAUUAUAGGCACCCUCCGUGUUUUUUUGUUUAACACUAAUUUAAGGGCACACAAAAAUGCGCGUUCUAAAUCCUUAAAAUUUAUAGAGAGAUAGCAUUAUUUUUUGGUCACACACUUUUGCGUAUCGUAAAUCGGUGCGUAUCAUAAAUUGCGCGUCGUAAAAGGCUAUUUUUCUAGUAGAGUAUCUAUUCCUAAGCAAUAUAUCAUAACUCCUAAGCAACAGCUCAAAAUUCUGAUCACAGAACCAUGCGGUCGAGAUCCAUCUUCACGAUCAGAAUCAGCAUAUACUUCCUUUUAGUUUCUUCACUUUUCUUUAAUUCUGAAAACAUCAGCAUGUGACCCAGUCACAUCAUGUAACAAGAAUAUCAUAAUUGAAACUUAAUAGAGUUCACUUAGCCUUUCUCUUUGGGAAUGGUACAUGCGACUAUCGCAGACUUAGCCUUUCUCUUUACCAUUUGGUCAACCUAGUUGACUAUGGUCAAUCCCUUUCCUCGGGAAGAUAAGGCUUUUCUAGAUAUCCAACGUUACCAUUGUCAAUGUCCAUGGUAGUUUGGGAAGUUGAUCUACUAAUAAAAUUUGCUCUCCUAGUGCUCCAAAUUAUGGUUGAUUCAGCAGCACCAAGCAAAUAGAUAAGAUCAUUAAGGGUCAUGUCAUAGUCUGUUUCAUAAUAGACCCAAAGGAAUUCACUAUGUGACUUAGAAAGUGAUUGAACCACCAACUUUCUCAAGAGUUUGACACCCAACUCUCCCGGCUUGUCAAUAUGUGACUUCAUCUCCAAGAUGUGAUCACACAUAGACCUUGCUUGCCAAUAAGGCUUCAGUGACAUUGAACUUGUGGGUUAGGGAGAAUAAUUAGAGGAGGUGGAGGAAGUGAAGUUCCAAGAGAUUUGGGAGGAUCAUAGAUGUCUGAACCAGACAUCUUGUUGGGAGAUAUUCAAGAUAGUUGAUCUAAAGUCCUUAAUAUAACACCCAAUAUGAAAUAUUAUGGCUAGGACCCAGAAAACUAUUUUAUAACUUGGAAGAGGGAUGUCGUAAUCCAAGCUAUAAAAUAUUUGAAGGUAUGUGAAUGACGAUUCACCAAUUUCCACCAAGAUAAACGAAAUGUAUUAUUAGGUUUUAAUUGGUUUUGAAACUCCUAGAUUCUUUUGAGAUUCAUUGAACUUUUCAAAGGCAUGUUUCAAUCUCGAGUGUGCCCUUCAGGUUUUGUGACUGGGAUACCGAGGAUCACAAAACAAGGUGUGAAUAACCAUGCAAAUAUACUUGGUACCCUUAAUAUUUACCCCUCAAUCGAUGUGCCGGUUAACCACACACGCUCCAUCGAUACUAUGAUAAACAUUAAGUUACCCUUUGCCUACCUUGUUAAAUCAAGCUAGUGUGCCGGUUAACCACACACACUCCACUAACUGACUUAAGCAAAGUGCAAAGUGU